rnacentral:rRNA from 1 species
CCUACGGGAGGCAGCAGUGGGGAAUAUUGCACAAUGGGGGAAACCCUGAUGCAGCGACGCCGCGUGAGUGAAGAAGCGUUUCGGCGCGUAAAGCUCUGUCAGCGGGGAAGAAACACGGUUCGCGAGAGCCGCGGACGGUACCCGACCAAGAAGCCCCGGCUAACUACGUGCCAGCAGCCGCGGUAAUACGUAGGGGGCAAGCGUUAUCCGGAUUCACUGGGUGUAAAGGGAGCGUAGACGGCGAGACAAGUCUGGAGUGAAAGGCCGGGGCCCAACCCCGGGACUGCUCUGGAAACUGCCUGGCUGGAGUACAGGAGAGGUAAGUGGAAUUCCUAGUGUAGCGGUGAAAUGCGUAGAUAUUAGGAGGAACACCAGUGGCGAAGGCGGCUUACUGGACUGUAACUGACGUUGAGGCUCGAAAGCGUGGGGAGCAAACAGGAUUAGAUACCCCAGUAGUC